CCCUUAGAUGUCCUGGGCCGCACGCGUGCUACACUGACCGGCGCAACAAGUUUCUUUCCUUGGCUCGAUAGGCCUGGGUAAUCUUUGAACGCCGGUCGUGAUGGGGAUAGAUCCUUGCAAUUUUUGAUCUUCAACGAGGAAUUCCUAGUAAAUGCGAGUCAUCAUCUCGCGUUGAUUACGUCCCUGCCCUUUGUACACACCGCCCGUCGCACCUACCGAUUGAAUGGUCCGGUGAAGCCUCGGGAUUGCGAAUGCUUCGUGCGGACGCGAGAACUUGGCUAAACCUUACCAUUUAGAGGAAGGUGAAGUCGUAACA
rnacentral:rRNA from 1 species